rnacentral:rRNA from 1 species
AACGAACGCUGGCGGCAGGCCUAAUACAUGCAAGUCGAGCGAGAAGCCAUCUUCGGGUGGUGGAGAGCGGCGAACGGGUGAGUAACGCGUAGGUAUCUACCUAGUAGUGGGGAAUAACCAUUGGAAACGAUGGCUAAAACCGCAUACGCCCUGAGGGGGAAAACUGAGGUGCUAUUAGAGGAGCCUGCGUUAGAUUAGCUAGUUGGUGAGGUAAUGGCUCACCAAGGCGACGAUCUAUAGCUGGUUUGAGAGGAUGAUCAGCCACACCGGAACUGAGACACGGUCCGG